GGGGAUUUAGCUCAGUGGCAGAGUGCUUGCCUAGGAAGCGCAAGGCCCUGGGUUCAAUCCCCAGCUCCG
rnacentral:tRNA from 1 species